rnacentral:lncRNA from 1 species
AAAUGGAUCUACUUCUUUCUCUUCCCAGAACUUCCCUUUGACUGAACCAACCCAGAACCAGGGAGCAAAAGAUCCUAAAUGAUACAGUCCCAGAAAUUAGCCUCCUGAAGCUACGGUAGAGAAGAUAAGAAAGGGAUUGGUUCAGAGGACAAGUGGAAAUUAUAAAGCACCUCUGGUGACAGGUAUGUGUGGGGUGCUGGAGAUUGUUUGGGACUACACUCAGCGACAUCAAUCCCUUUGAAAGGUGAUUGCAUUCACUGACCUAGGGAAUGCAGAGAAAGGGCAGUUUGACGUAGGAGUUAACACAGUCUGUUUUGGCAUGCAAAUUUGAAGGCAUAAAGGAUACGCACCACGCAGAGAAAUGAGGAAUGGCACCAUAGACCUGGAAGUCAUGGACCUGCAUAAGGGAGUUAAAGUCAGUGAUCAAAAAAGAAGCCCAAGAACCAUGGUCCAGCAACACCAACCUGUAAACAGGACCUGGUAAAGGAAAUGUGGUAAAAGAAAGUAAAGAGAGGCCAGGUGGGUAAGAAGAAGCUGGACUGGGUUUAGUUUUACAGAGGUGGGAUGGGAUCAGGGCAGGGUAGAAAUAUUUGGUUAGGAUAUCUCUGGAGGGAGGGAGCCUCUGUCACCACAUGUGAAGCAUUAAGUGGGAAUCCUGCAUGGUAGAGGUGUGUGGAGGAGAUGACCUCUUAGCCAUGUUCCGAUCCCAUGUUUCCACCACAUUCAGAGACAAAGUAGCUGCAUUAGGUCUCAGCUAGGGCCCUACACAGUUCCCAGUUUUGCCUCCAAAUGGGAAGGCAAUCCCUCAAACACAGCAAUCCCCAGCUCAGGAACCACCUCUGACUUCCAUUUCCCUCUACCACUAAAAUGUUAGCCUCCUCUGAAAUCAGCACAGAGGGGUUAGCUGGCAAGUGUGUGCUUGAAGGGGAUGGAGGUGCAAGAAACAAUGAGAGGAAACAAAUUUCCCUUGGAGCCUUCGAGGCAAAUCAGGGCCAACACUCCAGCCAUGAGCUUGGGCCAUUUGGGGGGCUGAUGCUCAACUACCCAGGGGACAGAUAACAAAGAAGCCAAUUCUCCUCCUCAGCCCUAAAGAGAUGCCCAAGCUUCUCUGCAGAUGACAGCUCUCUGCUGUCUGCCAGAUGCUACCCAUCUCCCCCACCCCCAUCCCAUUUCCACAGCCCUCUCCAGCUACAGAACCACAUUAGGGCCACCUUCUUCCCAGGGCAUGUGCACCCUUAGUUGACCGAGGCCGAAUAUAGUCAUGCCUGGAACUAAGGAAGAAAAGAUCAAAGAGAGCUGUUUCUACCCUUCAGUCCCUAGGAGUGCCCCAUGGCCAGGCUCCCCGAGAGGUGCCCUUCCUGUUACUCUGAAUGUCCUGAAUCUGGCUGACAGGGAAAGCCACGGCUGGGUAAAUGAUCUGGAAAGCCUUGGGUGCUUCCUAGGAAGAGCAUCUUUUGCCAAAACUGGUGAGUAAAGAGUCCCCCUUUCAAGCUCAACCCUAUUGCCUUCUCUAAGAAAAGCUGUUUUGACAAGAGCCUCAGUGCAACUGGCCAAAUGAGGCCAGCUCCUCUCCACCACAUCUCAUGUGCCUCACCCCUGCCUGGUCGGGACAUUGCCAAUGAAUGUUAGGUAAUGUCUACUAAACUCUGGAGCCACUGUCUCCUCAUCUAGGGAGAGAUUUGGUCUAAAUGGCUUCUGAAAGUUUGGACUCUCUAAUGUGACUCUUGAAGCCCCCGCCACUGAGUCAAGGUGCAUUCCAGCUGGUCGAGGGAGAAAUGGCACACUACCCCUUGUAGUCUUAGAGGAGGGACAGAGAAAUGCAGAAUAACUCCAUUGGAAGUGCAAAGAAGUAUAAAGUGAACUCAAAGGAGGAAGCCAUUAAGUCUAGCUGGGACCAGUUGUUGUUUUGAUUAAAAGCUCUUUUUUUAACUAAACAUGUACCAUUAUGUUCCAGGUUAUGCAUUAGCUACUUACCCAGUAAUUAACUCCCACAGUCCCCGAUUCAGCCAGUCUUUUUAAUCUCUUUGAAUAGAUUAUGAAACUGAAACUGAUUGGGAAAUUAGCCUCUUGGUAGAGAUUAGGAAACCCAACCAAAGGCCACAAGAUAUUAGGUGAAGGAGUUUGGGUGGGUAGAGGUGCUUAAAAUCACUACAACAUAUGAGAACUGGAUCAACAACAGAUGAAUUAUCAGCAUUUGCUGAAUUCCAUAUAAUCAUUCAUUUGGUACACACAAAAUUUUACCCCACAAGAAAGAGAUUAUUUCAACUCCCAUCUUACAAAUAAUGAACUCAGUCUCAGAGAAGUAUUUUUGACCUGUCCAGAGUCACACAGAAGCCAAAAUUAAAAUCCAGGUCCUAAGUACCACACGAUUCUGCCCCCAGAUGGGAAGAUGUAAGUGUGAGUAAUGCUCCAAAGACCAUUUCGGAGUUUGGAUUCCCCGCAGAAGCACAACCUGAUUGGAAACUUGGGCACAGGUAGUUUAUUGUGAAAGUGAUCCUAGGGAGCAGAAGAGGGUAAUAGAGGGAAGGGAAAAAUUAAAAGGCAAAGUAAAGGUGUGCAUCAGGUUGCCACUGUGAACAGCUGGCUCACUCUUUUGAACUGUCCAAGGAGCCUGCAAAAGGCCUCCUAGAACUGCUCCUACAGGAAGGAUGAGGGUAUAUUCUGCAAGGGUCUCUGCCUCCCCCCAUGAUGUAGGGCCUGCUGAGCUCCCUCUGGUGUCCGUGGCAUGAGGGGAGCCGUGGACAGUAGGCAAAGACUUAGGCACAUAAAUGAAGCCAGACACUGUGAUAAGAAGUACAAAAGGAAGCCAACUCAGAGUCCCAACCUGGGCUGAAUUCCAAGAUGACCUGGUAAGGCAGCAGUCCAGGCCUGCCUUCAGGGAAGGAGUGGUGGAUGGGGACAGCCCAGUCACAGCAGGCAGCAGGGCCAGGACAGAGGUGGGAUUAAGUGAAGCAUGUUCAUCCAACACCUGUAACUUCCUCCUGCUGCUACCCCAACACCCACAACUUCCAUCACACUAGUUAAGAGCUCUUCUCUUGAAAUCAUAGAAAUGAAGCCAUCUUCUGCCCCAUGCAGUGGCAAUGCUGGACCCUCAGCUCCUGGGAUUUUUUCUUUCUUUCUUUCUUUCUUUUUUUCCCCCUUAGGAAUAGCUGUAUAGAAUUGAGUUUGAAUGCUCAGACUGUCUGUGUGUCCCUGAGCAAGUUAUUAAUCUCUCUGAACCUCAGUAUGUUUCAUCUGUAAAGCAGAACAAUGAUAACCUACCUGGUAGAGUUGAGUGAGGAUCAGAUGAUAUUUUUCUGCCUCUAUGUAACUCACUUAGAAUAGAAAGAUGGCAUUUCGUGAGCACCUCAUCAAGGGUGGAUGUGCACCCUUUAACAUUUCUGAGUCAAUUCACACCAACAUCAAAGGGAAGAACUAGAUAUAAUUAGUUAUCAUUUAAAGAAAAAAAAAGGGAAAAUGCUGAGAGUGCUAGGUGUGAUGGGGAAAAGAUUUCAUUUUCCAGCUAGAGGAACUUAGGACUGAUGACCUCUCUGAAUUUGAGAUUUUUAGACACAAGAGGAGAUAAUCAUUUUUACCUGCCUCCCAGCAUUGCCGAAGCCCAUUGGAGAUUAGUAACAUGAAAAUGCAUUGUAAACCCUAACGCGAUAUAAAGAUGUUAUUAUUGUGAUUAUAAUUGGGAUAAGAAUUGUAGAUUCCUUCUCCCCUAAAUGUGCACUGCACACAAUCCCCAGGCUGACUGCUGCUCAGCUGCCAGAAGGAGAGCAAGACAUUUUCACCUUAAGGUCACCGCCAUCGAAAGGAGUGCGUGAUUAAUAUCAGAGACACUCUGCAACAGCUGCUCAGGUUGAGCCAUUCAUACCAUCAGAGUCAAGGACUGGGCUGCUAAUUUAUUUAUGUAUGAGGAUGACAACCAGGGAAAGCAAUUAGAACUAAGGCAUCUGUGCUUCUGUGAUCCCUGCAUGCUAGACCCAUGGCGGAGGGGCUCCAUGGAAACCUUAACAGUUGCUAACUGCUAACUGCCUUCCCUCCUGGUUGGUUCAAGCCCACUCUUUAAAUACAAAACGAGCCAUGUUUGUGCCCCAGCCCCUCAUCUGUUCCCUUCCACACGCCAGUCCAAAUUAGAUCACAAGUGGCAGGGGUGCUGCAGGGGAAACGGGCUUGGAAACAAAGGUGGGGAAGGUUCUAAAGCUUUCCAGAGUUCUUUACAGCUAUCAAUUAACGAAUCCUGCAACAGCCAGGGAAAGUAGGUCAAUAUUAUCAUGGCUGCUUCGUGGAUGAGAAAACAGGCUUAAGAAGAAUGGCUUGCCCAAGGCUAAGCCACUGAUCAGAAGAGCAGAAGCAGAAUUAGCUGGGAGAAUUCCUGACUCGGAAUCUUUGGCCAAGAGUCUGCUUGCUUAGCAUGCAGAAGGUGAUCAAUAAAUGAGGUAGACUCCCUGACUGAGUCCUAAACAGAUGCAUUAAUCUCAUCUUGGGUACAGUAGCAGAUUUUAGGUCCAAUUCAGGCCCUAAAGCCAGAAGAGUUUUUAAAUACGGGUCCUAAUCCUGCAAAAUCCAAGAAAAUAACUCUGCAUGUACCCAAAUUAAAAGGAAAAUGGAGAGGUAACUUUGUCUUCAUAGUGCACAUUAUUUUGGCUGCCCUACAUCUCAACAGUGUUCUUGCCGGGAGGCAAAGAGAGGCUAACAGAGUUUCCCUACCCUUUCCCCCUCCCUUAUAACCCUAUAAAAGCCAAAUUACCUCCUAUUUCACCUCUUGGGGAGAUUAGAGAUUGUAUCCUGUGGAAGGGCAAGGUCAGGGGUGGGGGUCCUUGGGUAACACAAGGAUGACCAGAGGCCACAAGUAUCAUGCCCAGUGGCACAAUUCUCACAAGAUGGUUCACAUAGAAAGUCGUUGGCUGAUUUUACUUCCCUCAUCCUCCCAAUAUCUGUGCACCAGUUUGUUUGUUUGUUUGUUUCUUCUAUCUAUCCCAAUAAACCCUUUGUGCCUUUGUUGUUUGCAAUCCUGACUAGUGUAGUUUCUGACCUAGAAAUGUAAGCAUUUACAGAGGUGAAUUGCCGCAGUCUGGCUGGGCACAAAAUCACAAGCCACUCAAGCAGGAACAAACUUUAUUUUUGAAACUGCCACCAAUGCCCGUACGCUACCGGGAAAUAUGCAGAUCGACACACGAGGCGUUCUCCAGGACCCCAACAGGAAGUCCCUCCUCCGGAAUUCCCUCCUACAGCACUUCCCCAACCAAUGGGAACUCUCCAGGAGUCCCGUAGCAGGCCAAGGUGGACAGCAGGAGUCCAAUAUCCAUAUGAAUGCAGAUCUUAACAUAAUCAUAUCAUCUCAAUGGCUUGCUGGCGUCACCUUUCAACCAAAAAUGCCAUGCAUCAUAUUACUUGGCUGUGGCUCUUAGCAGUGAAUCACAAUUGCCAUCUCAGAUUUCCAUACAUUGCUGGUGGGAGCAAAAAUGGACAAGACAUACCACAGAGAGCAAUUUGGCAAUGGUUUUCAUGUGCCCUUUGAGCCAGCUCUCCACCUUGAGGCCUAUUUCUUACAUAUAUACUUGCAUAAUUGCAAAAUGAUUUAUAUACAAAGUCAUUCUGCACUUGUGUAUCUAUGUGCCUGAUCAUUCCCUUGUAAUAGCAAAACAUUUCAAAGGCUCCAAAGGUCCACAAUAGAGGACUGAUUGGAUAAAUUAUAAUAUCUACACAUGAUGGAAAGUUAUCAAGGAUUUUUUAAUUAUGGUAUUUUCUAUGUAUUGAUAUGGAAAAUUUCCCAAGUAUCCCAGUAAAUAAAAAACAAAUGAAAUACACAAUAGGUUCAGAACAGUGUGUAUAAUAUGCUAUCUUUUAUAAAAAUAGGAAAAAAUAAAGACACUCUAGCAGGUUACAAAGAAACAACAACAAAAAUAGUAUUUUCCUGUUGGAAGAGAAGGAAUGAGGCAGAGAACAGGAUGAGAUAGGGAGGCAGGAGUUGAAAAUUAUUUUUUCUGAAGAGCUUUUUAGAAUUUUGAAAUUUUGAAUCACUUCAAUGGGUACCUAUUUAAAAAUUAAAUUUAAAAAUGCUACCUCAGCCUAAGUCUAAUACAUUUGAGCAUUCCUGCCUUCACACCAAUUCACCCAUUGACUUUAGCAUUUGGAUAAGGCAAAUGGUUAAUAGUAGCCAUUGACUUGACAGAUUCCAGAAAAUGCAGAAGGCUUGGAAAUCUAAGGCUGAGAGUAUAGGUUAGCUCAAUGGUAGAGCACUUGCCUAGCAUGUAGAAGGCCCUGGGUUCAAUCCCCUGCAGUUCCCCCUCCAUCCCCAACCCCCCACCAAAAAAAAAAGAAGGAUAAAAGAAAGAAUAGAAUCUGAUCCAGAUUUUUAAGGGAAGUAGAAUAUGAAAGUUCAUCAUAUCUUUUGAAUUGUGGAAUACAAAGAAACUGCAUUUCAGAGGAGUAUGUACUCUGAAGUGUCUCCUCAAAUCAUAUAAUUCACUGGCCCUUGCGGUGGAUAGAGUCUCAUCAGAAACAGGAAAAUAGCCCACUCAGCAACAGUUACUGGGAAAUACAGGGUCCUGGCAAAUUAUUUGCACCAGUGGAGUAUGUCUAGUGAGAUUAUUUUGCAAACACUGCCUAAUGAAGAGAUUUGAGCUUCCUUGCCUGAAGGUCCACAGAUCAAACUCAAAUGAAGGCCCCCAAGAAAAAAAAUGGACUUAUUUAUCCUCUAAGCCAUCUACUUGAAAAUCAAUAAUAUUUCAAAUUUAAUGAGUUGUAAGACAAGUAAAUUAGAGUUUGGAGUAAGCAAUAUUGAUUAGAUUAUUCUGUCAACUGGAACCCAUAAGUUUCCUCUGUAAUUAAGUAUUCCACAUAGUGUACGAUGUGCUCAACGCCGGUUGCUUUCAUGAGGGUAUCAGAGGGCUGCCUGUUCAUGUAAUGAAACUCUUUCCUUUACCCUGGCUGGCGGGCCAUGCCCUGCCUAGCAUGGGUGUCCCUGCCCUUCUCCACAGCAGCAGGCUCCCAUGAUAAGUGGCUUUCCCCCAGCACUAAUCACCCUGGCUCUAGUCACAGAGCUUUGGUGAAUUUGAACAUCAAAAUGAAGAAUGGCAGCUAAAAAAAGAAAGAAAGAAAAAAAUCAUGUGGAAGAAACUGUCUUCAGUAAAAGAGCUGUGGACUGAUCUGCAACUGUUAGAGCUGUCUUUAAAGUUCCCUCUGCAGUUUGCAUUUCACAGAAGCUUGGGGGUGGCCAAAGUAGAUUUCUCCCUAAAUUAAUAAAAGAAGGGCCAAAAGAGCAGAAUUUAAUACAUCUACUGUCACCAUUUGACAUCAAAUGUCCUAUCCUACCUCCCAACACUACAUCACAUUGCCUAUUAUCCAUCUUUACUGCCCUUCCUAGGGGAAUCUCAUUUUUUAAAUCUGAGUAAUGGUUGCUUUUUAAUUAAUUCAUUUAAUUAAUGUUAAAUGAAAUCUAUGACCUUGUAGUACUCUUGGGAUCUCUGGACCAGAAUGCCCCAGUCCAUUUACUAAGGAAGAAAAAUUCAGAAAUUGCAAAGAAAUGUAGCCCACUGCACUCAGCCCCCAGCAUUUCUAAAUGUGAAAAACAGAGGCAACACCACCAAGAUCUGUGUAUUGAGAGUAGACACUGAUGGCUGGCAGCUGGUCAGUGCUGCAGAAUCUCAGCUCCUCCCAGACCUACAGCAUCAGAAGCCACCUUUCCACCAGGUCUCAGGUGAUUCUAGAGCAUAUUACUGAGUAGCUCACCAAGUCUGAGUCAGGGCUCUGCUCUUACAAUCUGAGUGAACUUGGCCAAGUUACAUGACGUCUCUGUAGUUCAGGGUUCCUGCACACAGUAAGCACUUCAUCGGUGUUAGCUAUUAUUCUGGAAAUAAAUGAGAAUGUUCUGGGCUACAGACUACGGGAGAGCUUUUCUUUGCAGAAAGAACAACAUAAUGCUGAUAUAAACUGACAAAGAUUCUACUGGAGCUGGGGAACCAGGAAUGAGUGGAAGAAGCAAUACCCUGAGCACGAGGUACAGUGGCAGGAACUGAAAAUAAAGAAAGCAGGACAAGAUUUGGGAAUUCACCAACCUACAUUGGAAUCCUGCUCCCACUAUUCCCUGGCUGUGCAAUCCUGAGCAGUUUUCUGACUUCCCUGAGCCUCAGUCUCCCAGUUUGUAUUAAUAUGAUGAGAAGACUGGCAUCACCUUUAGAAGACAGAGGUGACGCUUUGUUUUGUUUUUCCUUUUUAUUAUUCGCUAGUGGUAGAGCUUCUUGAAGUCCUGAUGAAUCUCUGAAGACAUGAGCUGGCUUUAUCUUGUCUGCAAAGAUGCAGACCUGGCUGCAUAUUUGAAAACAGAGGAAGGUGCCUUUAAAAAAAAAAAUCUCUAUUUGAAAAAAUAUAGUAAAAUAGAAAUAAAAACCUCUAUCUGAGUCUCACAUCAAACUGAUUAAAUUGGAAGCUUCCAGAAUGGUGCCUAAACUUCAAUAUGUUCAACUCUGAAGCCCAAGGUUGGGUCCUACUAUGUUAGAAGGAAACAAAAAACAAAGAGAGCAAAAUCAUUUAAAAGAAGCGGGGGUAAGUAGAACAGUAAUCUUGGGUGGGAACAGAAAAUGAAAAAGAAAGCUGAGAAAGAUGAAAGAGGAACACCUUACCCAACUCCAGGUGCAGCCAUGAUUAAGGGUCUCAUUAAAGAAUAGAGAAAUCCACUAUUAUUGAUCUUGCCUGUCCUCUGUCACAUCUCCAGUAGAAGCGAUCACAAGUGAAUAUCCGGCAUGUUUGGGAGGAGAUAGAUACUCAAGAGGAAGGGCCACUGACCCUCAUUCAGGCUGACACCAGUGUUCCCCAGAGCAAGAGUGUCCACAGAGAUUAAGGAAAAGCCAGAAAUGGGAGUCAGAGAUGACCAGGAAACAUGUGAAGCCAAAAGAAGUUGUAGAACUAUUAAAGAGAGUGUUGAACUUCCUAGACCAUCAGGGAUAAAGGUUGAGAGUCCGUUUUCUCUACAGCCCACAAGGAACGCUGAACUCAGCAAAUUUGUGGGUUACCUAUGGACACAGCUCACCCUAGGCAAAUUCAAUACCAAUCUAGUUAAAAUUAACCCUGACACACUGAAACCUCCACUCCCUCCCCACACUUGAUAUUCCUCUGGGUUGGAGCCACCAUUUACAGAAAUCCCACUAACCAAUACAGAAGUUUCAGAGAAGAUAUUGUGGCCAUCUGCCAUUCAUCCAGUUUGCAGAUAGAACUUUUGACUAAAGUUUUCCAGCUUUUGUAUUAGCGAAUACAAUCUGGGCACAUGGAUCUUGAUGAGCAUUUCAUUGUGUGAGGAGGGGAUGUAGUCUCUAAUACGCUGCUGUUAAGAUCCCCUGUUUCCUAAUAGGUGUCACCCAGGAGCCAAG